rnacentral:rRNA from 1 species
UACAGAGGUCUCAAGCGUUGUUCGGAUUCAUUGGGCGUAAAGGGUGCGUAGGCGGCGCGGUAAGUCGGGUGUGAAAUCUUGGAGCUUAACUCCGAAACUGCAUUCGAUACUGCCGUGCUUGAGGACUGGAGAGGAGACUGGAAUUUACGGUGUAGCGGUGAAAUGCGUAGAUAUCGUAAGGAAGACCAGUGGCGAAGGCGGGUCUCUGGACAGUUCCUGACGCUGAGGCACGAGGGCCAGGGGAGCAAACGGG